rnacentral:rRNA from 1 species
GACCCAGACUCCUACGGGAGGCAGCAGUGGGGAAUAUUGCACAAUGGGGGAAACCCUGAUGCAGCGACGCCGCGUGAGUGAGGAAGUAUUUCGGUAUGUAAAGCUCUACCAGCAGGGAAGAAAAUGACGGUACCUGACUAAGAAGCCCCGGCUAACUACGUGCCAGCAGCCGCGGUAAUACGUAGGGGGCAAGCGUUAUCCGGAUUUACUGGGUGUAAAGGGGGCGCAGACGGCGAUGCAAGCCAGGAGUGAAAGCCCGGGGCCCAACCCCGGGACUGCUCUUGGAACUGCGUGGCUGGAGUGCAGGAGGGGCAGGCGGAAUUCCUGGUGUAGCGGUGAAAUGCGUAGAUAUCAGGAGGAACACCGGCGGCGAAGGCGGCCUGCUGGACCGUAACUGACGUUGAGGCUCGAAAGCGUGGGGGGCAAACAGGAUUAGAUACCCCCGUACU